AAAGCAAGAAACCAUUAUUGCUUAAAAGAGGAAUGUGCAAGGCACUUUUCAUUGAUCGAAGAAGAUGCAAUACAUAUACAUCUAUAUAUAAUAACUACAAGUGGAAAAACUGCCUCAUGGAGUAACUGCCUAGUAAACGUGGGAAAGUGCAGCAUUGCAUCAAGAACAUAGGAGGGUGCUCUCAUCCGAUUGCUCUCAUCCUUUCAGCAGAAUAUCCUUCUAACUUGGCAAGGAUCCUCUUGAGCUGAUGUAAAGCUCCUACCGAUACAGAAUCACUCAAAAUAAAGAUCUCGUUGCUUGAUUCGUCUCCGCCGCCGUUUCUGUCGACAGUCCUUGUGCCUUCUUUCCAGACACCAUCCAGGACUCCGCAUUUAUUCAGUACAGCUUUGCUGCUUCGGAUCUUAAAAUUUUAACUGUUUCAUAUAUCUAUUGAUAUGCGAUUUCAAUUUCGUCGCGUGUCUUCUGCUUUUUUUUGCUAGCUCAAUUGAAUUAGUAUCUAGGUUUUUAAUCGUUUCCCCCAAAACCCUGUUUUGGUUGCUUUUGUGAGAAAUUGGGAUUGACAGAGGUCAAUUAUUUCACCUUCUGAUUGAUUCAACCCAUUUUGUUUGCUAGGUUAAUUCGUUUUUGGAUUUUUGUCAACUAAAAGUUCGUUUUCGCUAGCUCAAUUGAAUUAGUGGCUAGGUUUUUAAUCGUUUUUCACUCAAACCCUGAAUGUGUUUGCUUUUGUGAGGAAUUGAGAUUAACAGAGGUGAAUUGCCGUACCUUUCUGAUUGAUACAUCUCAUUUUGUUGAUCAGGUUAAUUAGUUUUUGGGUUUUUAUGUUUGCCUACUAAAAAGAUCGAUUUUUUGUCUAAUCAUACGCAUAUUUUGUAAAUGUUUUGUAAAAAAAGACGUUGAAAUUUGAAAUACGAAAGCUAGCAAAAGCUCAAUGCUGGCAUGUCCUGGGUGCUGUGUGGAAGAAGAUGCAGAGAAGUUUGCCGAUUUGCUUUCUCGUCGUUUAUAUUUUUUUAUUGCACUUAUCACUUAUUUUGAUGUUUAAUUGGAACUCUCUGUAGUUGAAAUGCAUAGCUUCUUUGAAUUUGUGAUUUAUGUUUGAGUGCAUCUAGAUUACUUAAUGAGGAAAAAGUAUGGCGGAUCCUUUUGCCUGAUUCAACUGCCCGGCCUAUGGCUGCUGAUUGUCGAGAUUCGAGGCUUGGAUAUGAUUGUUGCCUUACCCAUCUGAUGCUAAAUUCAGUCAGAACUAGUAAUAAGUUUCUCAUAUGUUCAGGGGCUGUUUACUUUGACUGAUAUCUUAGAUUGAACAAUUAGAUUGGGUUUGAAACAUAAUAACUUGAUCUAUGCUGUUUGGUUCUUGGAUUUAAGUUUGAUAUGGAGAAGGAAGAUGAUGAGCUUUGACAGGUACUGCUGAAUGGGCUCACUUUUCGUUUCAGGUGUUUCUCCUGGUGCAGCCAAUUUUAUUUGUGCUUGUGCCGAGCAUCUGAAAUGAAUAGGUCCACCUGAUUAAUGUUAAUCAUAAGCUGAAUCCUCUCUGUCCGAAGCAACGUCGCAUGACUCAAAUCUUGAGGCUACUACCUUUCAUCCUUGUUCAGUAAAGGCAUUUUCAUAUACUCGAAUAAAAAUAAAUGCUGAUUUAUGGAGUACUAUUCUUACAUCUAUGUUUGUUCGGAGUGAAUAGUCUACUUGAUUAAUGUUUAUCAUAAGCUGAUUCCUCUCUGCCCAAAUCUCAAUUCUAGGUGUCAUAUCUUGAUCGUACAACAUUUGAUCCUUGUUCAAUUCUAGGAAAUGGGAAUGAGUCUUGCUGGAGUCUUGUUAUGUACUAGUACUAUAUGUUUCUUUGUAGUGAAAUCUUGCAAGCAAAAGGUAGAUUUGUGUCUUUAGUUAUUUUUGCUAUUCAUUAAGAUGAAUUUCUUGUUAUGUAAAGGAAGCAUUUCAAGCUGCAAUGCAGGCUGAGAAUGUCGAACAGUUUCUCAUGGUUCGAGCAUCUCAGCAAUGCUUAAACGAGCUUACUGUGAUCAGAUGUUCGAGUUAUGCUGGUUGUGCUUUUGCAUCCACCAAAAUGAGGUUGGGACUUCAGCUGCUUAACUUCAUACUAGUGUUGCUGUUAAGAGAAAUAGUUUUAGCCUUGUUAUUAUUCCUUUUCAGCCGCAGUUUAUACAACAACUGCAUAAUUUUAUUUUAAGUGCUGUAGGAGUUGGGUGCAUUUAAAGGAGAAGUGUGUAUUAAAGUGAUUUUUGUAGCUUUCUUCCAUCUUUUUUAUUGAAAUAAAUCCUUCCAUCUCAAUAAUUCAAGUUA